CCGCGUGAGUGAUGAAGGUUUUCGGAUCGUAAAGCUCUGUUGUUAGGGAAGAACAAGUACCGUUCGAAUAGGGCGGUACCUUGACGGUACCUAACCAGAAAGCCACGGCUAACUACGUGCCAGCAGCCGCGGUAAUACGUAGGUGGCAAGCGUUGUCCGGAAUUAUUGGGCGUAAAGGGCUCGCAGGCGGUUUCUUAAGUCUGAUGUGAAAGCCCCCGGCUCAACCGGGGAGGGUCAUUGGAAACUGGGGAACUUGAGUGCAGAAGAGGAGAGUGGAAUUCCACGUGUAGCGGUGAAAUGCGUAGAGAUGUGGAGGAACACCAGUGGCGAAGGCGACUCUCUGGUCUGUAACUGACGCUGAGGAGCGAAAGCGUGGGGAGCGAACAGGAUUAGAUACCCUGGUAGUCCACGCCGUAAACGAUGAGUGCUAAGUGUUAGGGGGUUUCCGCCCCUUAGUGCUGCAGCUAACGCAUUAAGCACUCCGCCUGGGGAGUACGGUCGCAAGACUGAAACUCAAAGGAAUUGACGGGGGCCCGCACAAGCGGUGGAGCAUGUGGUUUAAUUCGAAGCAACGCGAAGAACCUUACCAGGUCUUGACAUCCUCUGACAAUCCUAGA
rnacentral:rRNA from 1 species